UGGCGGACGGGUGAGUAAUGUCUGGGAAACUGCCUGAUGGAGGGGGAUAACUACUGGAAACGGUAGCUAAUACCGCAUAACGUUGCAAGACCAAAGAGGGGGACCUUCGGGCCUCUUGCCAUCGGAUGUGCCCAGAUGGGAUUAGCUAGUAGGUGGGGUAACGGCUCACCUAGGCGACGAUCCCUAGCUGGUCUGAGAGGAUGACCAGCCACACUGGAACUGAGACACGGUCCAG
rnacentral:rRNA from 1 species